rnacentral:misc_RNA from 1 species
AUAUAUCAAUCUCUUCAGCUUUUGCUUGUUGAGUGUUGGAUGUGGGGGUCUUUUUUGUUGGUCUUUUAGAGAGAGGUCAGCUCCCCUAAAAUGUAUUAGCAGAACAAAUAUGUUGACCGUUCAUUGGUGUGAUAAUUAUCUAUGCUAUUGACGUGAGGCAGUUCAGCUUCUAAUAGUCCAUUGACUUGGACAGUUUCUUUUAUUA